rnacentral:rRNA from 1 species
UACGGAGGGUGCGAACGUUAAUCGGAAUUACUGGGCGUAAAGCGCGCGUAGGCGGUUCGGUAAGUGGGAUGUGAAAGCCCUGGGCUCAACCUGGGAACUGCAUUGGAAACUGGCUUACUAGAGUGCGGUAGAGGGGUGUGGAAUUCCCGGUGUAGCAGUGAAAUGCGUAGAUAUCGGGAGGAACAUCUGUGGCGAAGGCGACACCCUGGACCAGCACUGACACUGAGGCACGAAAGCGUGGGGAGCAAACAGG